GUGCUUACUACAACAGCACAUAUGCUGAACUGAAUAGUGCAGAGAAGAUGAGCAGGUUCCUGAGCAAAGAUGGCCAGUUAACUCAUGCAGCACCCAAUAUCCUU
rnacentral:snRNA from 1 species